UACGGAGGGUGCAAACGUUGCUCGGAAUCAUUGGGCGUAAAGCGCACGUAGGCGGUCCAGCAAGUCGGGUGUGAAAGCCCUCGGCUUAACCGAGGAAGUGCAUUCGAAACUACUGGACUUGAAUACUGAAGAGGAUCGCGGAAUUCCCGGUGUAGAGGUGAAAUUCGUAGAUAUCGGGAGGAACACCAGUGGCGAAGGCGGCGAUCUGGGCAGAUAUUGACGCUGAGGUGCGAAAGCGUGGGGAUCAAACAGG
rnacentral:rRNA from 1 species